rnacentral:misc_RNA from 1 species
GGGAGCUGGCGAGAAGAUGUUAAAAUAGAACAUCACAGAACAUUAGAACACACUAACAAAUCGAGCCCCUAAAUCAACUGACUGAAAGAGAGAGAGGUAUGGCAGGUGAGGCAACUCGGGUGAUGGUAGCGGUGAACGAGUCGACGAUCAAGGGUUAUCCACAUGCUUCCAUUAGCAGUAAAGGAGCAUUCGAGUGGACUCUUAACAAAAUUGUUCGUUCCAACACUUCUGGUUUCAAACUCCUCUUCCUCCAUGUCCAAGUUCCCGAUGAAGAUGGUUUUGAAGAUAUGGAUAGCAUAUUUGCAUCACCUGAUGAUUUCAAGGGCAUGAAAAACAGGAACAAGAUUAGAGGGCUCCAUCUGCUGGAGUACUUUGUUAACCGCUGUCAUGAAAUUGGGGUUCCUUGUGAAGCAUGGAUAAAGAAAGGCGAUCCCAAGGAAGUCAUCUGCCACGAAGUCAAACGUGUACAGCCAGAUCUUCUUGUGGUUGGUUGCCGUGGUCUUGGUCCUUUUCAGAGGGUUUUCGUGGGAACUGUAAGUGAGUUCUGUCUGAAGCAUGCUGAAUGUCCUGUUGUCACAAUUAAGCGCAGUGCAGCUGAGACUCCUCAGGACCCAAUAGAUGACUAAUUCAUGUGGUGUAUUUGACUACUUAAUGCACUUAUUGAUUGUCAACUUGUGAUGGUGUGGAAAGAUUGUGGGGGAUUUUCAUUCUGGUGCUUCUAAUAUAGCCUAUAUCUGCCUGCUUGUGAGGUUUGUGUUCGUACAUGAUUGUAGAGUACAUGUGGCUGAGCUUUGAGUGCUCCUCGUUACGCUUGGUAUAGUGCUUGGUAUAUUGUUUGCAUAUUUUCUCCUCUUUCUGAUGAAUAUGUGUUAAACAUUCUG